rnacentral:lncRNA from 10 species
CUUGACUAUCCAUUGGCCCACGUGGGUAUCUACAGUAGAUUGAUAGCUCUGAGAGUUCUCAUUUGACCUUGUCACUUGGUUCGGUGAUAUUACAAUAGAAGUAGAAACUUUCAGCAGCCUGUAAGUGAGAACGGAAAUUAUAUUGAGAAAUCCAGAUGUGCAGUUGUGCAAGAGCAAGCUGGUGUGGAUUUUUGAAUGGAUAUUCUGAAGACAACUAGGUGGACUGGCUUGGGAUCCUGAGAGAGCAAGAAAAGUUUACCGGGAGCUUCAGAAAAAGUUAUUCAUCAUUUUUGGAGUGGAUAUUCAGAAGUGACUUCCCUCUUUUGCUCUGGUGCCUGGCUACUUCAAGAGUUGAGCUAAUCACAGGGAAGAUUCAGUCUCAGUUCAGCUGCCUCAUUUGAUCAGCUCAAGACUGAGUCCAACAAAAGUGGUCUGUCUAAUGAAACUCAUUUUCAUUUUUUCUCAUUAGUCUAUACACGAUUGAGACUGUAGAACGACAAAAGAAUAAAAAGAAGAAUGACAAUUAAAAAUCAUUUUCUCUGGCCCUUGAUUUUUGCCUUCUUUUUUUUAAAUGUAGUUACGUGCUCAUUUUUUGUUUCUUUUUUAUUCUCUGCUCUUCUUUUCUAUUGAUUUUCCCAUUUAUGAAGGGGGAAUUAGUAAAUCCAUGGUCUGAGUGCUGAGAUGUUCUGAUAGGCCUUCAAGUUUUCAGCUGUACUCUGAAUCAGAAUAAUAUACUCCAUCAAGGAGACUGACAUUGGCACCACCUUCCCAGAAAUCCAGGAGCGCCUUUGCAUGAGGAAAAGCAGAAGGGAGUAAAGUCAUGAAACAUUGUGUGUGUGUUUGUAUAAAACUGUAUAUUUUUGCUCACAUAUAAUAACUAUAUAUUUCUGCUAAUUUUUCCUUUUAAAGGCUAUUAAGUUACUUAAAAUCCAUUGCCUAAUAAAACUGCAAUUCACCUUUGUAAUUCACUCAUUUGUUUGCUGUCACAGGGAAGAUAGAAAUUGAGCACGUUUUCGGCUGGGUGUGGUGGCUCACGCCUGUAAUCCUAGCACUUGGGGAGGCCGAGGUGGGCGGAUCACGAGGUCAGGAGAUCGAGACCAUCCUGGCUAACAUGGUGAAACCUCGUCUCCACUA